rnacentral:rRNA from 1 species
ACGGGAGGCAGCAGUGAGGAAUAUUGGACAAUGGAGGCAACUCUGAUCCAGCCAAACCGCGUGAAGGAAGACGGUCCUAUGGAUUGUAAACUUCUUUUGUAAGGGGAUAAACCUAGAUAUGUAUAUCUAGCUGAAGGUACCUUACGAAUAAGCAUCGGCUAACUCCGUGCCAGCAGCCGCGGUAAUACGGAGGAUGCGAGCGUUAUCCGGAUUUAUUGGGUUUAAAGGGUGCGCAGGCGGCACGUUAAGUCAGCGGUGAAAUGCAGGGGCUCAACCCCGGCACUGCCGUUGAAACUGGCGAGCUCGAGUACGGAUGAAGUCGGCGGAAUGUGAUGUGUAGCGGUGAAAUGCUUAGAUAUGUCACAGAACACCGAUUGCGAAGGCAGCUGACUAAUCCGCAACUGACGCUCAGGCACGAAAGCGUGGGGAUCGAACAGGAUUAGAUACCCUGGUA